UUAGAUGUGUUAUUACGGUUGUUUUUGUCGUAGUCAUAAGGGCUGGAUUACGAUUACACAGAACUCUUUGAAUUCAAGAGCACAAAAAGAUGUCGGAAUAAAUUCGAAACACCUGGCUUCAGAACCUUCAAAAGGUCUUGAUCGCGCACUGAAUGAGUCUGGUUCUGGUGAAAACUCAGGAAUCAAGCAAGUCUACCGCAUUGCCUUGACGCCAAAAACAAGAAAGUGUACUGGUGUAUGACCGAUUGAAGAUGAAAGUUAAGCAAAUAGUUUUUGUGAUGGGAAUUCUGGCCAUUUUCUGCCAAGUUUUAUCUUCCACUGUCGACAAUGACGCAUACGAACGGAAAAGAGAAGAAACGCUUGAAUUCAACAUCGAGAAUAAUACCCCGACUCCAUCCUCCUGGCGACGGAAGCGGAGUAUAAGAGCACAAGAUCAAGAAGAGAAACUACAUAAAAACAAGGCAAAGCAAUUUGUCAGCUAGACAAUCUUCUCCCUCUUGAUAACUCUACUCUUUGAAUCUUUUAUGUUGCUUCUGUAUAAUUAUGCAUGAUAAUAAAUAUUUGGUCCUUAUUCCUGCUUUGAAAUUGAUCAGCCUUAUAUUUGGCAAAAUGUGAUAAACGAAAAUGAAUCAACAAUAAAACAUUUUGUUUACAUAGUUGCCUGGAUAUUGAUCAACCCAAUACAAAUAAAACGAUAAAAACACAAAAGGAUAUCCGUGUAGUGCUGAACAUACUUCCAUACCACUAAAAGAUCCUGCUGUAACGUUCUUAGGUCAUUACGCAAACAUAUAUCAGAAAUAUAACCUUGUCCCCAGGCUGCUCACGGCCAGCCCUACAAAUUUAAAUUCAAAAUGGCGGACGCUCUUUUGAGAGAAAUGUCAUAAAAAGUGGCAUCUCGGCCUAGAGACGCCUUGGAACGAGGCUAUAAGAAUCAUCAUGGCUUGAAAUUGUAGACCAUUUUGGGGUUAUUGGCGUGAAAAAGAUCUUGUUGUAUGUUGUAACGCAGGCUAAUUCCUAGCCAUGUUUUAGAUGCAGCUACCAGGCUACUGUCUUACAAAACAUGUUUUGAAGCGGAGGGGAUUGGAAGGAGAAACAUUGUUAUUAUAAAUGUUCCAAUUAAAUAUUGUUGCUUAGACUGCUAA